UCCACCUCUCCAAACUAAGCCUUUUUUGAAAAGUUCAAGGCAAUGUUGAACUACUUGCCAAGUAGGUGAGGAAGCAUCAGAAAACAAUAGUGUCUUCCAUGUUAUCGUUGAGGAAGUAUAGCACCUUCAACAGCCAUUAGCAUAAGGUAUCAGGGAAGGAGAGCAGUCUCCAACCUGUCACCCGAGCAACACCUGGUUACAAAGGCGGAAAUCCAUGAAUCCAAGGCCUCAGUGUGACUUUGGUUGCAUCAGAACCUCUCAUGUGUGCCAGUGCAUCUUCAUUCUCUCCUUCUCGUCUCCCAAAUAUUAAUUUUGAGCCAUGCAUGUGAGAUCAUCAUAUGUGAUUGCAUGUAACGAGAAGACACUCAUCGAGUAAUUCAUGAGUGCUUGGGAUAUGGCCUUGAUUAACACUACCUUUCCACUUUGAGCCAUUUGAGAAUCACACCAAAGGAUAAUCUACUUUGUAUAUCUCUCUUCUAUAUUCUUAAAUCACCCU
rnacentral:lncRNA from 1 species